CCUACGGGAGGCAGCAGUGGGGAAUAUUGGACAAUGGGGGAAACCCUGAUCCAGCGACGCCGCGUGAGUGAAGAAGUAUUUCGGUACGUAAAGCUCUAUCAGCAGGAAAGAAAAUGACGUUACCUGACUAAGAAGCCCCGGCUAACUACGUGCCAGCAGCCGCGGUAAUACGUAGGGGGCAGGCGUUAUCCGGAGUUACUGGGUGUAAAGGGAGCGUAGACGGCAGCGCAAGCCUGCAGUGAAAUGCCGGGGCCCAACCCCGGAACUGCUCUGGGAACUGUGAAGCUGGAGUGCAGGAGAGGCAGGCGGAAUUCGUGGUGUAGCGGUGAAAUGCGUAGAUAUGAGGAGGAACCCCGGCGGCGAAGGCAGCUUGCUGCAGUGGAACUGACGUUGAGGCUCGAAGGCGUGGGGAGCAAACAGGAUUAGAUACCCGAGUAGUC
rnacentral:rRNA from 1 species